UGGGGAAUAUUGGACAAUGGGGGCAACCCUGAUCCAGCCACGCCGCGUGAGUGAUGAAGGCCUUCGGGUCGUAAAGCUCUGUGGGGAGGGACGAACGUCCGGCAUGACCUGCCGGGGUGACGGUACCUCCUUAGCAAGCACCGGCUAACUUCGUGCCAGCAGCCGCGGUAAUACGAAGGGUGCAAACGUUGCUCGGAAUCAUUGGGCGUAAAGCGCACGUAGGCGGCUUCGCAAGUCGGAUGUGAAAUCCCUCGGCUCAACCAAGGACGUGCAUUCGAAACUGCGAGGCUUGAGUACAGAAGAGGAUCGCGGAAUUCCCGGUGUAGAGGUGAAAUUCGUAGAUAUCGGGAGGAACACCAGUGGCGAAGGCGGCGAUCUGGGCUGAUACUGACGCUGAGGUGCGAAAGCGUGGGGAGCAAACAGG
rnacentral:rRNA from 1 species